rnacentral:rRNA from 1 species
UACGAAGGGGGCUAGCGUUGCUCGGAAUGACUGGGCGUAAAGGGCGCGUAGGCGGCGAUCACAGUCAGAUGUGAAAUUCCUGGGCUUAACCUGGGGCUGCAUUUGAUACGUGGUUGCUUGAGUGGGGAAGAGGGUCGUGGAAUUCCCAGUGUAGAGGUGAAAUUCGUAGAUAUUGGGAAGAACACCGGUGGCGAAGGCGGCGACCUGGUCCUUGACUGACGCUGAGGCGCGAAAGCGUGGGGAGCAAACAGG